rnacentral:rRNA from 1 species
ACUCCUACUGGAGGCAGCAGUAGGGAAUAUUGGGCAAUGGGCGCAAGUCUGACCCAGCGACGCCGCGUGCAGGAUGAAGGCCUUUUGGUUGUAAACUGCUUUUCUGAGGGAAGAAAAGUAUCUAUUUAUGGGUAUCUGACGGUACCUCAGGAAUAAGCACCGGCUAACUCCGUGCCAGCAGCCGCGGUAAUAC